rnacentral:lncRNA from 1 species
GGGGGCACCUCCUACAGGCCCCAAAUACAAUACGUAUUUCAUGUUUCUGUUGGUGGCAGCAGGUGGCCUAAAGAUCAGAAAGAUACAGUCUCUUCCCUGCCCUCAUUUUGCCUAUUACAGUGAAAAACUGGGCAGAGCAGAGAGGAAGAAAGGCAGCAGUAGGCAUGGGAAUAAGCAGUAAAGAUAUAAAAUUGCUCAGGUCUACUGUGACCACCCUCAGCUGCAGUACAAUUGCAGCCUGAGGACUGCUACAAAAGCUGUGAAUAGUUGCUCUGUCUCUGUGGUAGCAGAUGGUGGGGAUUAUGGUUCUCUCAAGUACUGAUAGUUUCCCUUGAGCAACACCUUUUUUUUUUUUUUUUUAUCUCCCCUCCCCCCUCCCCCCCCCCCCUUUUUUUUUUCUUUACAGAAGGCAGACAUUUAUUUUAAAUGUUCAAAAAUGUAACCUCUGUUUCAACUUUGAAGGAAAGUGGCAGAGGGGUCAUCUCGUUAUCUUGUAUGAAUAUGACUGGAGGUGAUAUUUGCUGUGUGGAGACUUGUUCAUAUAUUCCUUCUUCCUUCUGCGCUCCCUCAUGAGUUUUCUUGCACUUUAGAAACAGAGAAAAAAAAAAAAGUAUAAUUCAGAUUGUCUUCAGCUGUAUUUUUCCCUCCUGUGGUUCCAAACUGUCACAGAUGGAAGGACAUUUCAGACUGUGGAGUUUCCUUCAAACAAUCCAUAUAUCUGAUUUUCUACCAGUAACAGCCAGACUGAAGGGGAAGGAUGGAAACUAUAGUAUGUUCUAGCAUAUGUUCACAUGGACACAGCUGUUAACAGAAGUGAAAAGGAAUUAAACAAUAUCAGUGACUGGAAGUGGGAUUGUGAAAUAAUCCUCACCACAAUUAACAGCCUGGGACAACUGUAAAUUUUUCCAGCAAAGAAAAAGGCGACAAAACAAGAAGAAAUUGGCUUCAUAAAAAUCCUUAUGGUAGCCUUAGUUCUCAGUUGUUUAAAUCACUGAAAUUUUGAUGAGAGAAUGGAGAUGUCACAAAACGUUGGGGAUCAGGAGACUUAUGGAUCGUCAUUCUUGUAGCAGCACCUGAAAUGAUGGGGUCUCCUUCAGAGCUACAUGAUGGUGCAGCUUUGCCAGUGGACUGGGAGAAGAUGGCACCUGAAGUGCAUUUCAUGUUCCAGUUGGGAGAAAAUUCAGAACAGAGAAGAAAGGAAUGCAAGUAUACAUCUUUCAAAUCUGACACUGAUGAGUUAUUUAAAUCAAUACUUGCCUGUCAAAAAUUAAAUUCAUGAGGGAACUUUUAAGAACACGUUCUGCCAAAUGAGAGGACCUAUAGCUGCUAUCAUCCUUCAAGAAUGACACUUGAAUUUUAUCUAAUUGUAAUACUUCCAUGUUUAAUUACUAAGUGUAACAUCACAUGCUCAUCGACAAAUAAAGAUUAAAA